rnacentral:rRNA from 1 species
AAAUUGAAGAGUUUGAUCAUGGCUCAGAUUAAACGCUGGCGGCAGGCCUAACACAUGCAAGUCGAACGGUAACAGGAAGAAGCUUGCUUCUUUGCUGACGAGUGGCGGACGGGUGAGUAAUGUCUGGGAAACUGCCUGAUGGAGGGGGAUAACUACUGGAAACGGUAGCUAAUACCGCAUAACGUCGCAAGACCAAAGAGGGGGACCUUCGGGCCUCUUGCCAUCGGAUGUGCCCAGAUGGGAUUAGCUAGUAGGUGGGGUAACGGCUCACC